rnacentral:rRNA from 1 species
CAGCAGCCGCGGGAAUACGUAGGGUGCAAGCGUUAAUCGGAAUUACUGGGCGUAAAGCGCACGCAGGCGGUCUGUCAAGUCGGAUGUGAAAUCCCCGGGCUUAACCUGGGAACUGCAUUUGAAACUGUCAGGCUGGAGUCUUGUAGAGGGGGGUGGAAUUCCAGGUGUAGCGGUGAAAUGCGUAGAGAUCUGGAGGAAUACCGGUGGCGAAGGCGGCCCCCUGGACAAAGACUGACGCUCAGGUGCGAAAGCGUGGGGAGCAAACAGGAUUAGAUACCCGCGUAGUCCCUGUCUCUUAUAC